GACCAUCGUUCAGUGGCAGAGCAUCUACUUUGCACGUAGAAGGUCCAGGUUCAAUUCCUGGCAUCGCCA